rnacentral:rRNA from 1 species
GAGGGGCAUCAUGAUCUAGCAAUAGAUAGAUGGCGACCGGCGCACGGGUGAGUAACACGUAUCCAACCUUCCGUUAACUCGGGGAUAGCCUUUCGAAAGAAAGAUUAAUACCCGAUAGUAUAGCAAUUCCUCAUGGUUUUGCUAUUAAAGAAUUUCGGUUAUCGAUGGGGAUGCGUUCCAUUAGUUUGUUGGCGGGGUAACGGCCCACCAAGACUACGAUGGAUAGGGGUUCUGAGAGGAAGGUCCCCCACAUUGGAACUGAGACACGGUCCAAACUCCUACGGGAGGCAGCAGUGAGGAAUAUUGGUCAAUGGACGAGAGUCUGAACCAGCCAAGUAGCGUGAAGGAUGAAGGCUCUAUGGGUCGUAAACUUCUUUUAUAUGGGAAUAAAGUGAUCCACGUGUGGAUUUUUGUAUGUACCAUAUGAAUAAGGAUCGGCUAACUCCGUGCCAGCAGCCGCGGUAAUACGGAGGAUCCGAGCGUUAUCCGGAUUUAUUGGGUUUAAAGGGAGCGUAGGCGGAUAGUUAAGUCAGUUGUGAAAGUUUGCGGCUCAACCGUAAAAUUGCAGUUGAUACUGGGUGUCUUGAGUACAGUAGAGGUGGGCGGAAUUCGUGGUUAGC